UGAUAGAGUGCUGGAGAGCGAAGGAGAGAGGGCAGGAGAAAUAAGUUGGGGCAAGGGCUGCGUAAAGUUUUGACCAUAGAAAAGCCAACCAAUGUCCACAGCUGUAGACUUUAAGAAGCAAGAUUACGUUUGAACUGCACUGUUCCAGGAUCCUUGAUGAUGAGUGCGAUUAUUAAAUAGUGACAACACAUGUGCAACCUCAACUGUCUUCAUGAUUAUCGUUGCUGAGAAAGAUACCAUGGAGAGUAAAGACACCAUGUUCACAGACAGAAUGCAGAGACUAUUCCACCCACCUUUGUUGAGGGCUGAGAGAGCCGGGGCAGCUACUCCACAAUUCAUCCAGGAUGAAUUCUUCUGAGGUGAAACAGAACUCCUUGCAGAUAUUAUUGACGGUAUUCCGACGUAGAAAAGAACCCCUCCAUUUAAAGACGCCUGACAGCUCUUGAGGUGGCAACACAAUCUCUACCCAGUUUUUACCAAAUGGCUUCCAUGAUGUGAACUUCGCAUAGUGUUCCUGCUUUGUACUUGAUGUUGCGAACAGGGAACUGCACAGUUUGGACUUCUUGUUGAUAUUACUUGACAGCAUUCUGACAUGGAACCCCUGCAUUUGAAGACGCCCGGCAGUAUUGUUGUUCUUUGGAUUGCCAACAUUACCUCUACUUUCAAGUUUUUACCAAAUGGCUUUCCUUGACCUUAACUAUUCAUCCUGCUUUUACUUGAAAAAAGCGAACAGGGAACUGCACACAUGUUGCCGAUAUUACUCUACAGUAUUCUGACGUAGAACCCCUGCAUUUGAAGGCGCCCGACAGUAUUGUUGCUCUUGGGAAGGCAACUAUUCAAGUUUUUACCAAAUGGCUUUGCUUGACCUGAACUAUUCAUCCUGCUUUUACUUGAUGAAGCGAACAUGUACGUGCACGACUUGGACUACUGCAGAUUUACUUCACAGCAUACUGACGUAGAAAACAACCCCUGCAUUUGAAGACGCCAGUAUUGUUGCUCAUUGAGAUGGCGACAUAAUCUCUACUUUCAAGUUUUUCACAAAAUGGCUUCCCUUGGCAUGAACUGGUGUUCCUGCUUUCUACUUGACGAAGGAUGAUGUCAAAGAAGAUGCUUUCUACUUUCAGUUUUGCUCACAUGGAGGGCAGAACAUGAACAUGUCAAACCUAAUACUGGGAGGAUUGUGGACACUACAAAAUAUAGAAUUAAAGAAUCCUAUCAGAUGAAAUACAGAGAAGUGGAAGUACCCAAUUGUUUUUGGAGUGGGUCCAUCCACCAUGCUUUGAAUAUGCCAGUGGAUUAUCAGCCUCUUUGCAAGGACACGUCAGCAUCAACACCGAAGAUGAGAACAGCCGCCAGGACACAAAACAUUUUAGAAAAUCACAGACUCUUGUUAAGGAACAGCUUUUUUUAAAGGAGUGAAGCUGAAGAGCUUUAGGCUAAGAACAAAGAACAGAGCUAAAGAACCUCCCCAAGAUCAAGAAGCAUCUCAAGAAAACAUAGAGCAAGAAUCACAUGUAGAGAACUUUAAUGCUGAGGAACAUUGAUCUUCAAUCGCUUUCAAUUUCUGUGUCGGCAAGCAUGAAACUUUCACCUGAAUUCUUUGUUAAAGAACUUAAGACUGAGACCACAGAACAAGAAUAUUUUACCUUCCCAAGCCCAAGAAGCAUCUCAAGAAAAGAUAAAGCAAGAACCUCAAAAAAAGAACUUUGAUGCUGAGGAGCGUGACCCCACAAGGGUUUCAACUUCUGUAUACCACAGGUAUGCAACUUACUGUUCACCUGGGCCCAAUUUCAUGGCUCUGCUAACCACAAGCAAAGAACCGCUGCUUGCGGAAGCAGGAAUUUCCGCGCAUAUGUAAAUUGUACUUCACGUCACGAGUUAGCAGGGAAUUUUUGCUUGUGCGCGUAUGUACUUCACCUUACUACAUGUAGGCAUUUUUUUGCUUUCACAGCUAGCACAGAAAUUUUGGCACUUUCCCCGCAAGGGGAAGUUGUGGUAAGCUCAGUCUUGAAAUUGGGCCCUGAUGUCUUUGAUGUAAUUUCUAGUAAGUGUUGCCACACUAAGCUCUUAUCUAGUUUUGUUUUGACUAAUUGCUUUUGCGUGUCUGAUACAAAAAGUGCAACUUGUAUUGAUCUUUUAACUUUACUUGGGUUAACUGAAAAAAUGUGUGUAUUUCGAAGGAUUUAUCUGCCUUCAAAAAGGUGGUACACGUAGUCAUUAUGGUGUAACUAUUUCUGCCCAUGACUUUACUGUGAGAAGCUAAAACAAAGGGUUAUUUUUUUAUUGAAUCAAUGUGAUACGGUCUAGAGAUGUGGGUGAGGCUAAAUAGUUGAGUUGUGAUCCGAUUCAAAGAGUGAUUCCUCAGUACAUGUAUAAUGACUAGUAUAUAUUGACAUAAGCAUUGCCAGAUUUCAAAUGGCAGUAGAGUUCUGCUUUUCUUCGGCUGUGAUGAGGCAUCUCUUACUCCAAAAAUGGAAAAGCAGAUAAACAGGUGCUACACAAGGCUAUUUAAGAGCUGCUUAACAUCCACAUGGAGUCAAAAUAUGGCCAACAAAGUCCUAUUGGGACCAGCCCAAGCUCUCAACAAAAAUCAGGCACGGAUGCUUGUUACUGGCCACUGCUACAAGAGCAAUGACGACCAGGAUCCCGAAUGGUUCUGUGGACCCCUAAGCAGGGGAGGAGGUACGUGUAGACUUGGUUAAGUCGGGUCUCGUGCUAAUCGAGUCAAUGGCUAGUGAAGCAGCGACGAAGGACUCGACGAAAGUUCGACUUGGGUCAAGUCUAGGGAGGAGGAGGAAGGAAACGUGGAAGACCUGCAACUAUACCUACACUGACAUACUCUAUAUGAACAAGGGUCUGAAAUCAGUAGAUUUGAAGUCGGCAAUGGGAGACAGAAAGGUAUGGAGAAGCAUCAAGAUUCGACGACACCCUUCCACACAAGCAAACAGCAGGUUUUUUUAUAAUGUCCCACACCCAAGUUGACUCUUGCGCACUUAAGAGUAUAUGUUCAACCAGUACAUCAACAUGGAAGGCUGCCGUGCUGGUGAUGUCUCCCCUCUUCAAUGUCGACUUCGGAGCACUUUUGCUUUUGUCCGUGAAAUCACUCAUCAAUAACGACUAGUCAAGCUACAACUGAAGGUAUUAUGAAUCAUUGUUGCAGAAAUAAACAUGGAAAGAUUGUGCUCUAGAAUGCUUUAGAAAUGAAUUUGGAAAUUCCGGGAUCCUGUUUUUGGAACUCAAGUUAAUUCACAGCCGUAUACUGAGAAUACUGGCUGAGGGUGAACUGCUGGUAACCUCUCCCCUCAAAUGGUCAAUUAGAACUUGUUGUCAUGUUUUCAUUGGGUGUUAAAAAUCAAGUUUAUUGGUUUAAUUUCAAAGCCGUAUACUGAGAAUACUGGCUGAGGGUGAAGUGCUAGUAACCUCUCCCCUCAAAUGUUCAAUGAGACCUUCUGAUUCUAUUUUGUUCCAAAACUCAAGUUUAUUGGUUUAAUUUCAAAGCCGUAUACUGAGAAUACUGGCUGAGGGUGAAGUGCUAGUAACCUCUCCCCUCAAAUGUUCAAUGAGACCUUCUGAUUCUAUUUUGUUCCAAAACUCAAGUUUAUUGGUUUAAUUUCACAGCCGUAUACUGAGAAUACUGGCUGUGGUUGAAAUGCUAGUAACCUCUCCCCUCAAAU